AACAAGAUAGUUUAGUAUCAAAACAGUAGGUUGUGGUCCUUCACAGGGGUGAAAGCCUUCUUGUUA
rnacentral:tRNA from 1 species